AUUUAAACUGUACUGUAGUCUUCUUUCCCGGAAUGAGGCCUAAGGUGCUGCCUGACCUGCUGAGUUCCUCCAAAAUUUUGUGUGUGUUGCUUUGGAUUUCCAGCAGCUGUGGAUUUUCUCAUUUGCGUAAUUACUGGUCCUUUUCAGCUGAUGGCGCAGGCCUCAAGCUCCAAAGCAACACAGGCCUCAAGCUCCAUGGCAACAGGCCUCAAGCUCCAAAGCAACACAGGCCUCAAGCUCCAUGGCAACAGGCCUCAAGCUUGCCGCCAACAGAUGUUUGCAUGCUGCAGUAGAAGUGUAGACAAAUGGAAUGGUGCUAUUAAGAUUCUACUGCUAAUAUGAUGCUGGAAUUGUCUGUCGGUUUCAGGCCUGCGAUGAGGUUUGGUCUCCACUCGUGACAUGCUGCCUGGCGGUGUAGUGGCAUCCACACCAGACUUCGAGGCAAGUGGUCCCAGGUUUGAAUUCAACUGUCUCCUUGCACGCUUUCUAUUUGUGCAAGGUUGACCAUCGAGCUAGCAACUCAGCCUCGUUAAAAAAAAGACAAAUGUUAAAGAAACGGUAAGGUUGCUGCCCAAUGCACCGCGAGGCACGUAGAGGAAUAACAACACUCAUGACAUGGUACGCUGAUGUGGAAGGUCAGACUAUAUGGGAUCCACAAUGAAUUAGCCAAUUGGAUACAAAAUUAACUUGGUGGAAUGAUAUAGAGGGUGGUAUUAUAAACUGUUGUUUUUCAGAUUGAAGGCCUGUGAGGAGGGAGGGGUGUGCUACAGGGAUCAGUGCUGGGUUUACUGUUGUUUGUAAUAUAUAUUAAUGAUUUGGAUGAAAAUUUAUGACAUGAUUAGUAAGUGUAAAGAUGACACCAAGUUGGUGGUGUGGGGUUGAAGAGAGUUAUUGAAGAUUCUACAUGACGUAGAUUAACUGGGAAAGUAGACAAAGGAAUGACAGGUGUCAUUUAACUGGGACCCAAGUGGUGAAAAAGGCAUUUAGCAUGCUUGUCUCCCUUGAUCAGGGCAUUAAGUACAGAGUCAGUGCAUAAUGUUGCAGCUGCACAUGGUGUUGGUAAGACCAUACUUGGGAUAUUGUCUGCAGUUCUGUUGUCAAGCUACAAAAGGAAGUUAUUAAGCUGGAAAAAAAUUACUGAGACUGGAGGGCUUGACCUAUAAACAGAAACUGGAUGGGCUGGAGAAUUAUUUCUCUGAAGCAUUGAAUGCUUUAGGUGACCAUGUAGAAGUAUAAAACCAAGAUAAGGGGAAUGGUAACAACUUAAUCUGGAAGGUAUCAUUUUAGUGAGAAGGGAAAGAUUUAAAAGGGAACAUGAGGAGUACAUUUGUGGAUAUAUGUAAUGAGCUGCCAGAGGAACUGGUAGAGGUGGGUAUAAUUACUAUGUUUUAACAGCAUUGGACGGGUACAUGGAGAGGAACAGCGGAGAGAGAUACAGACCAAACACAGGCAAAUAAGAUUUGCUUGUGCAUGGCCAAGUUGGGCCAAAGGACCUGUUUCCAUGCUGUUGAAUUCUUAAAACAGCCAUAGAAAGAGUGGCAACAAGAUAAAAGGUGCCAUUUGUUCAGCAAGACCAGACAUGGUCAGCUCUGUUAUGCUCACAGAAAGGGCUAGCCCUUCUACUUGAUUACCUCAUCAGCAUUUUCAGUCAUCUUCUUUGGUGUGUUAUUUUACGUUUACUGUGUGUCCAGAGAGCCCAAGACUUUUGCACAGUACUGUAUGUGUCAACAUGGAGCGAAGAGCGAGUAUGUAAAAUAAUUGGUGAGAGAAAAGGAUGUUGGGAAUGGGAGAGGUGUGGGACAGCAGGCAGAGGAGUGCCAGGGUUGGGGGUGCAGACACAACUAGGCAAGGUCAGCUGAUUCCAAACAAUUGGUUUAUUGAUCAUUACAGAAUGCCUUUCUGGAACUUCCUGCUCCCUCCCCUCUCCCUUUCCACAACCAUGAUUUCCCUCUCCCAACCUCCUUCCCACACCCAGUUCACUAUAGAGACUCAUAUCAGAAUCAGGUUUAUCACCACUCACAUAUGACGUGAAAUGUGUUUUUCUUUGCAGCAGGAGUACGGUGCAAUAUAUAGUAUCAGUACAGUACUGUGCAAAAGUCUUAGGCACCCUAGCUAUAUGUAUGAGUUGCCAAGACUUUUGCACAGUACUGUAUAUGGUUCCAACAGUUGCCACUAUUAAACUGAGUUAGCCAAGCUAAUCAAUAGCUCUGCAUAUUUACUCUCGAUUGCCCUAACGUUGAACUAAGUUUCCUACAAGACAUUUUGACAAGCUGAAGAAUUGUAUCUUCUAAUUGCCUUAUGACAAUUUAGAAAUCAGUUCUCGUGUAGCACAACUUCUUUACUGAGAAUCAGUUCCCUCAGCUCAAUUUGUUUAUCCCUCUGUACUAGUGAAGUUAUUUGAAACCCAUGUAUAAUCGACGUGGUUCUGUCUUCCAGGGAUUUUUAUUAUACAGACAUUGGGAAGACAUUUCAGUGUAAACUGUCUUCUCACACCUUCUCCUCAAAGCCCUAGUUUAAGCCAUCAUUUGGGAAGCUAUGCAAAUGAGCGACCACAUUAAUGUUAUUGAAGUGAAAAUGCUUAUCAAACCAUCACUCUCCUGUAAAAUCAUAUCAAUGCUCAUACAGGUAAAUGUACUGGUUACCUUCUGUACCCAUAAGCAGUACAACUGAACAAUUGAUUCACCAGUUGCUUGGAAUUACAAUGCAGUUGCUUGAUUAUUGCCUUGUUGGAGAAGCCACAAACAGAAGGCCAGUCUGCCCACUCCUGACAGGUUUGGGUACUGCACGCUGUCUCCAAGCCACUUUCACAUCAAGCUUUUUCCCUAUGUGGAACAGCCUGAGAAUUGAAAAUUCUGGGCCACUUUGCUUUUCUAACGAUGCUGUCAGGAAAUGUAGAGGAGGCUUGAUCAAAAGCAGAGCAGAGGAGAUGAUCAAGUUCAAGUUUAUUGUCAUCUGACUGUCCAUUUAUACAACUAAAUGAAACAAUGUUCCUCUGGACCGCGGUGCUCCCACACAACAUAUGUCACAUUCAGCACAUAAGCUAAAAAUAUUAUACCAUAAAUAAGUUAAUAAAACAUAAUUCAAAAUGUGUGUAGUAAAGCACAGCACAGGUAAACAGUAAUCAGGAUAAAGUACAUUAAGCAGCUCGCUGUCCUAGUGAUGAGACCUCAGUAGUGGCAGAGUAUUCAAUAGUCUCAGAGCCUGAGGGAAGAAACUAUUAUCCGCUCUGGCAGUCCUAGUCCUGAUGCUCCUGUACCUCCUUCCAGAUAGUAGUGGGUCAAGGAAACCAUGGAUUGAGCAUUUUGGAUCCUAAACAAUGCUUUGGGCCAUUCGUUUGCAACACGCCUAGAAAAUGUCACAAAUAGGAGGGAGGGAGACCCCAAUGGUCCUUGGUAACUUUUACUGUCCUCUCUAGGGUCUUGAGGUCUGAAACCUUGCAACUUCUGUACUAUGCAGUAAUGUAACCAGACAGGACACGCUCGAUGGUGCUCCUGUAGCAAGUUAUUAGAAUGGGGCAGGGAGUCUUGCACACCUCAUUCUCCUCAGAAGGUGUCCUGUGCCUUCUUGACUAGUGAGGAGGUAUUGUGGGUCCAGGUUAGACCAUCCAUUACAUGCACACCAGGGAACUUUGUGCUCUUUACUUGCUCCACGUUGGAGCCAUUGAUAUACAAUGGAGAGUGGUCAACCGGUGCUUAUGUGAAAUUCACAAUCAUCUCUUUUGUCUUGUCCACAUUGAGGCUCAGGUUGUUGUUCUCACACCAAUUGACAAGCCUCUCUGUCUCCUCUCUGUUGCUGAUGAGGUUGAUCACUGUAGUAUCAGUGAACUUGAUGAUGUGGUUUGAGCUCAGCCUGGCAGUGCACUUAUGAGUCAGCAGCAGACUGAGCUCUCAGACAUGGAGGACACUAGUGCUCAGUAUGAUGAAGCUUGAGAUGGUGCUGAUAACUCGGACUGACUGGGAUCGUUCCAUUAAGAACUUCAAGAUGCACUUACAGAGAGGGUUGUUGAGUCCCAAUGAAGGUAAUUAGCAGUGAGCAAUAACUUUAAUAAUAAACUACAAAUUAAGAGAGAACAGAUGCUAAAUUUGACAUACAUCAGGAUAACUGAAGGCUAGGGGCAACUGGUUGAGGCUGGCUGAUGCGAUGAGUGACAAAGAUUAUGGAUGAGAGCAGGGUUUAAAUAGGCUGCCGGUGAUGGGUUGGAAAUGAGUGGCAUUCCUGUUAGCUGGGUGGAGUCUGGGAAAUGUCUGCAUGUGCACGGCUGGCACAUGCUUCCUUUAAGCAGUUUCUGAUGUGAAUGGUGAGAAGGGUAAAUUUACUCUCCUAUUGUGUGUUGCUACACACAGCUGGCUUGUGGCUCAGAGAGUAAUUGCUUAAUCAUAAGAUUGUAGCAUUCUGAAAACUUGAAUACAGAUAACACUUAGGUCAGAAUUUCAGAGCGAUGUUGUGUGAUUGCUGCCUUAUUGGAUGGGACAUAAGCUAAAGUAUUAUUUGUCCAGUAAGUGGAUGAAUAAGAUGUUUUGAAUAUAUGGUUAGUUUUCCUUGGGAUUUGUCCAUUAUUUUUCCCUCAACUGUCUUCAUUAUUUCAUUGCUGUCUGUGAAUCAUUGCUGUGUGCAAUCUACUGUCUGGGUUCAUACAUGAAGCAGUGCUUUACCUCAGAAGUACUUCACUGAGUCGGUGUUCUGAAAUUAUGACAAAGGUACUUCGACCAUUUGUGAUUUUGUAAUUAGUUUGCACAAUUUUUUUUUUAAAAGUAUGCAGAAACGAAGGUUGGCAGCUAAUCUGCAUCUCUGUUCCUUCAGUUUAUUGACCUUGUACAUCUUCUGACUGUGUUGGUCAUUGAUGCAAAUGACACAUUUUGCUGUAUGUUUCAAUGUUUUGAUGUUCAUGUGCCAAAUAAACCUAAUCUUUAAAAAAAUCUUUCCUAAAAGCAAAUCGCUAAUCUUACUGCCAUCUUAUUUUUAGGCACCAACCCAUACAAGUGUCCGGACUGUUCUGUGGCUUUUGUUAUAAGUGGAGAGGCAGUGUGGCAUAGAUAUCACAAACACACUCAUGAGAAGCCGUUCCGAUGUUCAGUCUGUGAUCAUGCUGGUGUGGCAGUAUGAGUGGUACAAAGUUAAGUGGGCUUCACAUUCCGGCAGAUUUUCCAGUUCAAAUCACAAGCAUGUAAAAAAAAACAGGAAAUGAAAAAGAAUACUUUUCAGAUAUAGGAUCCUUUUAUUUGCUCAGUUUCAGUGGGUUUCUUGGAAAGGAGAGAGCCUGUUUACCCUUAAAGUAGGCGCAACUGUGUGACAGUCUUGCAAAGAAGGUAAGGUUGUCAUUAAUAGAUACUUCCUUCAUUUACCUGCAAGUAUAUUGGACCAUCAGAUUGAGCCUAAUAGUUAACGGGUUCAAUUCUCUUAGGCCAAAUGCUCAGCCAUUCUCACUUCAGAAAAUCCAAGUAAAAGCUGAUUGUCAGAAGAAACAAAAUGGUUUCUUCUCCAUUAUUACCAGGGUGAGGUCAGGGCUAGAAGUCUUCUGGUCUGAGCAUUUGGAUUGUAGCCAAAAAAUCUCAUGGGUGAUGCACAUCUCUUUUUCUACACAGGUUUAUCAAAGUAAUGCUCAUAACCUUCUGCUUGAGUAGAAAGCAUCAUUGGCCUUCUUAAUACUGCAAAGAGCAGAAAGUUGGGAUAUAAGACAAUGAUCACUUUGACUGAUGUGAAAUGUAGUAAGUUCAAGAUUAUCAGCAUCUUAACCUCCCUACCUGUGCCUCUCAUAAUUUCUAUAUUUCUGUCAGUUUGCCCAUCAGCCUCUGGUGCUCUGGUGAAUACAGUCUAUAUUUGUCCCAGCUCUCUGUGUAACUAAUGCAUUCUAAUCCAGGCAACAUCUUGGUAAACCUUUUCUGCAUCCUCUCCAAAGCCUCCAGAUCUGUGCCAAGUAGAACAGCACACAAUAUUCCAAACGUGGCCAGCUCAAGUUUUUUGCAGCUGCCACACAACCUGUCAACUUUUAACCUAUUGCCCUGACUGAAGGUAAUUUGGGAAACCGGUUUAUUAUUAGCACAUAUACUGAGGUACAAUGAACAACUUAAUCUUACUGUUUAUUUUCCUUUUGCAUUUGUCCUUCCAAAUGUGACACAUCACACUUGUCCAGAUAAAUUCCAUUGGCCAUUUCUCUAUUCAGAUUUCCAAGUGAUCUAUAUUCUCCUAUGUCAUUGACAAUCUUCCACAAUUCCACCGAUUUUCAUGUUGUUUGCAGUUAUUAAUUAGACAACUCACAUUUCAUCCAAAUCACUUUUACCCAAUUAUGUAUCUAUACCAGAAACAAAGGAGCUCCCAGCACUGCUCUUUUGGGGUACUUUCAAUUUGAUUUAUGAUUGGAUUUUGGGUAAAUUCUGUAAAAGACUAGCUAUCAUUAAGACACUUCAAGCCUAAGAUAUAAUGUAGUAUUAAGAACAUAAUCCUCAUUAACAGUGUCUAGGAAUGGUCCAGGUUAGAAUGAAAUAUAUAAACUUUACAAUAUAUGUAUUAUUAUUGGAGACAAAAUCAUGUUCAGAUCUGACUCCUGGUGGUAGGAUUCCAUCACUCCAUGGGACCAUCAUGAUUAAUUCCUCUAGAAAAUGUAGAAGGUUGAGGGGGGACUUGAUAGAGGUAUUUAAAAUGAUGAGGGGGAUAGAUAGAGUUGACGUAGAUAGGCUUUUUCCAUUGAGAGUAGGGGAGAUUCAAACAAGAGGACAUGAGUUGAGACUUGGGGGCAAAAGUUUAAAGGUAACAUGAGGAGGAAUUUCUUUACUCAGAGAGUGGUAGGUGUGUGGAACGAGCUUCCAGUAGAAGUGGUAGAGGCAGCUUCGAUAUUGUCAUUUAAAGCAAAAUUGGAUAGGUAUAUGGACAGGAAAGGAAUGGAGGGUUAUGGGCUGAGACCGGUGGGACUAAGUGAGAGUAAGCAUUCGGCACGGACUAAAAGGGUCGAGAUGGCCUGUUUCUGUGCUGUAAUUGUUAUAUGGUUAUAUAUAAAAUUAAUUAAUUAAUUUCUCUUUCUCACAUUUAAGAAUCUAUUUUUGGAAAAAAAAAUCCAAGAAUUUGAUCAACACACACAAAAUGCUGGUGGAACACAGCAGACCAGGCAGCAUCUAUAAGGAGAAGCACUGUCGACGUUUCGGGCCGAGACCCUUCAUCAGGACAUGUUUGAAUUUCCAGCAUCUGCAGAUUUCCUCGUGUUUGCUCCAAGAAUUUGAUGAUUAUUUUUAAAGAUUUACAAUGAUCAUGUAGUAAAGAUAAGAAUGACAAAUGAAGAAAGUUUGGGGUAACAACAUUAAAAUAGAGGGAAAUGAAGCUUAUUAUAAGAUUACACCUUUUCCUUUCUAGGGGAAUAUUCUAGGCUUUCCCUUUUAAACAGAAUAAAUGAACUAGAAAAGAAGUAAGACAAACUAAUCCAUGAAAAUUUCUGUGGGAAAACGAGAAUAUAAAACUGCUGAUUUUCUGAACAGCUAUUUGUUAGCUGAAUCUCACCAGUCAUUGGGAUGUGGAGCACAGAAACAAACCCUUCAGCACAUCAUGUCCAUGCUGACCUUUGUGUUUGUCUACAUUAACUCCCCUUGCUCAUAUUACAACUGUGUCUUUGGAUGCAUCACCACGUAGCUGACUCAUCUGGCAACUAAAUAGCAAAGUACGGAAUCUUUCAAAUUUUAAUCUUCUAGAACAGCUGAAAUCUUGUGAGCCUUAUAAGUACAGUGGACUCUGGUUAACUGGGGCAGACACUUAUUUGGAACAACUCUUCAAAGAUUUAUUAUCAAAGCAAUUAACCAUAUACAACUCUGAAAUUUGUCUUCUCCAGAUAGCCACGAAACAAAGAAAGAACUUGAAAGUUGUUCAGAGAGAAACAUCAAACCAACCCCCCCCACCGCACAUAAAAGAAUGGCAUCCCGACCAUCAACCUCCCCCCACCCACACAAAUCGGAACAGGAACAUCGACCCCCAAAAAACAAA